rnacentral:rRNA from 1 species
CAAGUCGAACGGUAACAUUUCUAGCUUGCUAGAAGAUGACGAGUGGCGGACGGGUGAGUAAUGCUUGGGAACUUGCCUUUGCGAGGGGGAUAACAGUUGGAAACGACUGCUAAUACCGCAUAAUGUCUUCGGACCAAACGGGGCUUCGGCUCCGGCGCAAAGAGAGGCCCAAGUGAGAUUAGCUAGUUGGUAAGGUAACGGCUUACCAAGGCGACGAUCUCUAGCUGUUCUGAGAGGAAGAUCAGCCACACUGGGACUGAGACACGGCCCAGACUCCUACGGGAGGCAGCAGUGGGGAAUAUUGCACAAUGGGGGAAACCCUGAUGCAGCCAUGCCGCGUGUGUGAAGAAGGCCUUCGGGUUGUAAAGCGCUUUCAGUUGUGAGGAAAAGUUAGUAGUUAAUACCUGCUAGCCGUGACGUUAACAACAGAAGAAGCACCGGCUAACUCCGUGCCAGCAGCCGCGGUAAUACGGAGGGUGCGAGCGUUAAUCGGAAUUACUGGGCGUAAAGCGCACGCAGGCGGUUUGUUAAGCUAGAUGUGAAAGCCCCGGGCUCAACCUGGGAUGGUCAUUUAGAACUGGCAGACUAGAGUCUUGGAGAGGGGAGUGGAAUUCCAGAUGUAGCGGUGAAAUGCGUAGAUAUCUGGAGGAACAUCAGUGGCGAAGGCGACUCUCUGGCCAAAGACUGACGCUCAUGUGCGAAAGUGUGGGUAGCGAACAGGAUUAGAUACCCUGGUAGUCCACACCGUAAACGCUGUCUACUAGCUGUGUGUGCCUUUAAGGCGUGCGUAGCGAAGCUAACGCGCUAAGUAGACCGCCUGGGGAGUACGGCCGCAAGGUUAAAACUCAAAUGAAUUGACGGGGGCCCGCACAAGCGGUGGAGCAUGUGGUUUAAUUCGAUGCAACGCGAAAACCUUACCUACACUUGACAUGCUGAGAGUUACUAGAGAUGCCUUCGUGCCUUCGGAGCUCUGAGACAGUGCUGCAUGCUGUCGUCAGCUCGUGUGUGAAAUGUGGGUAAGUCCCGUAACGAGCGCAACCUUUGUCCUUAUUUGCAGCGAGUAUGGUCGGGAACUCU